UGGAGGUUGUGCCCUUGAGGCGUGGCUUCCGGAGCUAACGCGUUAAGUCGACCGCCUGGGGAGUACGGCCGCAAGGUUAAAACUCAAAUGAAUUGACGGGGGCCCGCACAAGCGGUGGAGCAUGUGGUUUAAUUCGAUGCAACGCGAAGAACCUUACCUGGUCUUGACAUCCACGGAAGUUUUCAGAGAUGAGAAUGUGCCUUCGGGAACCGUGAGACAGGUGCUGCAUGGCUGUCGUCAGCUCGUGUUGUGAAAUGUUGGGUUAAGUCCCGCAACGAGCGCAACCCUUAUCCUUUGUUGCCAGCGGUCCGGCCGGGAACUCAAAGGAGACUGCCAGUGAUAAACUGGAGGAAGGUGGGGAUGACGUCAAGUCAUCAUGGCCCUUACGACCAGGGCUACACACGUGCUACAAUGGCGCAUACAAAGAGAAGCGACCUCGCGAGAGCAAGCGGACCUCAUAAAGUGCGUCGUAGUCCGGAUUGGAGUCUGCAACUCGACUCCAUGAAGUCGGAAUCGCUAGUAAUCGUGGAUCAGAAUGCCACGGUGAAUACGUUCCCGGGCCUUGUACACACCGCCCGUCACACCAUGGGAGUGGGUUGCAAAAGAAGUAGGUAGCUUAACCUUCGGGAGGGCGCUUACCACUUUGUGAUUCAUGACUGGGGUGAAGUCGUAACAAGGUAACCGUAGGGGAACCUGCGGUUGGAUCACCUCCUUA
rnacentral:rRNA from 1 species